UACGUAGGUGGCGAGCGUUAUCCGGAAUUAUUGGGCGUAAAGAGCGCGCAGGUGGUUGAUUAAGUCUGAUGUGAAAGCCCACGGCUUAACCGUGGAGGGUCAUUGGAAACUGGUCGACUUGAGUGCAGAAGAGGGAAGUGGAAUUACAUGUGUAGCGGUGAAAUGCGUAGAGAUAUGGAGGAACACCAGUGGCGAAGGCGGCUUCCUGGUCUGUAACUGACACUGAGGCGCGAAAGCGUGGGGAGCAAACAGGGAUUAGA
rnacentral:rRNA from 1 species